rnacentral:rRNA from 1 species
CCGCCGCGGUAAUACCAGCUCUCCGAGUGGUGUGGAUGUUUAUUGGGCCUAAAGCAUCCGUAGCUGGCUAAGUUAGUCCCCUGUUAAAUCCAAUGAAUUAAUCGUUGGAUUGCGGGGGAUACUGCUUAGCUAGGGGACGAGAGAGGCAGACGGUAUUUCCGGGGUAGGGGUGAAAUCCUAUAAUCCCGGGAAGACCACCAGUGGCGAAGGC